rnacentral:rRNA from 1 species
UACAGAGGGUGCGAGCGUUGUUCGGAAUUACUGGGCGUAAAGCGCGCGCAGGCGGCUUCCUAAGUCCGUUGGUGAAAGACCGGGGCUCAACCCCGCGUCAGCCAUGGAUACUGGGAGGCUGGAGACAGGUAGAGGCAAGCGGAAUUCCCGGUGUAGUGGUGAAAUGCGUAGAUAUCGGGAGGAACACCAGUGGCGAAGGCGACUUCCUGGCCUGUUCUUGACGCUGAGGCGCGAAAGCUAGGGUAGCAAACGGG